GACGAACAAUUCAUUGUUACACCGAAGAUGAUGAUGGCUGUAACUUUUUUGAUGUAUUCCUCUGUUGCCUCUAAUAUUCUUUGUCGAGCAUAAUGCAUGCUUUACAGUGGUUUUGCUUUUACCGACUUAUAAUCAAUCCAGACAGUCUUAACCUAAAUUUUGGACUAGAUAUAUGCCCAACUCUGUGAAGGCAUGUGCGACACAUAAAAUGUACGUUCUAUUCAUUCGCUAGAAUGGUGCACAAAGUCCUAAACUACUGGAAACUGCACAGUUGUACAUUAUUUAAAUAUUUUUUCGUCAUUAUCUAGGUAGAAACUGUUGCAAAAUAAAUGACUCAACUUUCCAGCAUUAUAAUCAAAUAAAAAAAGGCGUAACAUACAUACAGACAAUGAUGCUUGAGCUGUUUCAGGUCUACUGCACAUGCUCUGCAGUGCAUAUACAGGAAAUGAUUCUUGAGGCUGUUUCAGGUCUACUGUACAUAUAUAUUCAAGUCAGUCAAUAUGAUAUCAUAAUUUCACUGACAAGUGCGUAUGCAUUACUCGCCAUUACUUCCCAAGAAGGUUUGUCAUUUAAUUGUGAGCGAUUAGUUAAUGUCAAUAAAAUUUCAGCUUCCCUUUUCCCUCAAGGUUCGGUGUUUUUCCGAGUGUUCCAUGCUACAUCUACUGCAAUACCCUGUUUCAGUUUCAAAACAAGAGAGAUCCUAUCUGCACAUUCAAUGACCCAAUGAUGAUUCUUGUCUGUGUGUUAGCUUUGUCAUGUGUGAGUAAAAAGUAUG